ACCCGCUGAACUUAAGCAUAUCAAUAAGCGGAGGAAAAGAAACCAACAGGGAUUGCCUCAGUAACGGCGAGUGAAGCGGCAAGAGCUCAAAUUUGAAAUCUGGAGCCUUCGGCUUCCGAGUUGUAAUUUGAAGAGGAUGUUUCGGUUGCGGCCUGGGCCUAAGUUCCUUGGAACAGGACGUCAUGGAGGGUGAGAAUCCCGUACAUGGCUGCAGGCUUGCUUCCAUGUGAAGCUCCUUCGAAGAGUCGAGUUGUUUGGGAAUGCAGCUCAAAAUGGGUGGUAAAUUUCAUCUAAAGCUAAAUAUUGGCGGGAGACCGAUAGCGCACAAGUAGAGUGAUCGAAAGAUGAAAAGCACUUUGAAAAGAGAGUUAAACAGUACGUGAAAUUGUUGAAAGGGAAGCGCUUGCAAUCAGACUCGCUUUCGGUUGAUCAACGUUCCUUUUGGUUCGUGCACUCUGCCGUUGGCGGGCCAGCAUCAGUUGAGGCGGUGGGACAAAGGUAGCGGGAAUGUGGCUCCCUCGCGGGAGUGUUAUAGCCCGUUGCGCCAUGCCGCCAGCUUCGACUGAGGUCCGCGAUUUAUCUAGGAUGCUGGCUUAAUGGUUGUAAGCGACCCGUCUUGAAACACGGACCAAGGAG
rnacentral:rRNA from 1 species